rnacentral:snRNA from 1 species
UUGCUCACUUUGGCAGAGGCCCUGAAACUGAAGCAAUACACGGACGAUUGACAUGGCCCCUGUGCAAGGAUGACACUCAGAUUCGUGAGGCAGUCUGUAUUUUA